GGCAGCGUGGCCUAGUGGAAGGAGCUCAGGACUGAGAGUCAGGAGACACGGGUUCUAGUCCCGGCUCUGCCA
rnacentral:tRNA from 1 species